rnacentral:rRNA from 1 species
GACGAACGCUGGCGGCGUGCCUAACACAUGCAAGUCGAGCGGAGAUACAUUGAAGAGCAAUCAGAUAUGUAUCUUAGCGGCGGACGGGUGAGUAACGCGUGGGCAACCCGCCUCAUACUGGGGGAUAACACAGGGAAACUUGUGCUAAUACCGCAUAAUAUCAUUAUAGGGCAUCCUGUGAUGAUCAAAGGAGCGAUCCGGUGUGAGAUGGGCCCGCGUCCAAUUAGCUAGUUGGUGGGGUAACGGCCCACCAAGGCGACGAUUGGUAGCCGAACUGAGAGGUUGAUCGGCCACAUUGGGACUGAGACACGGCCCAGACUCCUACGGGAGGCAGCAGUGGGGAAUAUUGCGCAAUGGGGGAAACCCUGACGCAGCAACGCCGCGUGAAGGAUGAAGGUCUUCGGAUUGUAAACUUCUUUGAUGAGGGACGAACACAAUGACGGUACCUCAAAAACAAGCCACGGCUAACUACGUGCCAGCCGCCGCGGUAA